rnacentral:rRNA from 1 species
GAUGAACGCUAGCGGCAGGCUUAAUACAUGCAAGUCGAGGGGUCAGCAAUGACACCGGCGGACGGGUGCGUAACGCGUAUGCAACCUACCUACAUCAGGGGGAUAGCCCUAGGAAACUGGGAUUAACACCGCAUAAUAGUAUUGAUGGCAUCAUUGAUAUUUGAAGUAUUUAUAGGAUGUAGAUGGGCAUGCGUAAGAUUAGCUAGUUGGUAAGGUAACGGCUUACCAAGGCUACGAUCUUUAGGGGCUCUGAGAGGAGUAUCCCCCCCACUGGCACUGAGAUACGGGCCAGACUCCUACGGGACGCAGCAGUAGGGAAUAUGUGGCAAUGGAGGCAACUCUUGCCCCGCCAUGCCGCGUGCAGGAAGACGGCCCUCUGGGUUGUAAACUUCUUUUGAAUGGGAAGAAUUUGAUGUUUGCGAGCAUUAAUGACGGUACCAUUAGAAUAAGCCACGGCUAACUACGUGCCAGCAGCCGCCGUAACAC